UACAGAGGUCUCAAGCGUUGUUCGGAAUCACUGGGCGUAAAGGGUGCGUAGGCCGCACGGUAAGUCAGAUGUGAAAUCUCAGGGCUCAACUCUGAAAUUGCAUCCGAUACUGCCGUGCUUGAGGACUGGAGAGGAGUCUGGAAUUCAUGGUGGAGCAGUGAAAUGCGUAGAUAUCAUGAGGAACGCUAGUGGCGUAGGCGAGACUCUGGACAGUUCCUGACGCUGAGGCACGAAGGCCAGGGGGAGCAAAACGGGG
rnacentral:rRNA from 1 species